rnacentral:lncRNA from 14 species
CUGGAAGUGGGGACUGUGUCUCUCUCAUAGACAAGAGGGCAGCUCCUGUAUAGCACCAUGCAGCGGUCAUGGAAACCACCCUUUGGGACCCUGCUCUCCCCAGGUACCAGGUACAGCACCCAAAUGCAUCUCUGCAGCUGGAUUUGGUGACUAUUUCCAGACGCCUGGGCCAUGCAGCUGGCAGAUGGGUGAACAAACACAUCUCAAAGUGCCCAAGUUGGAAAUGUCAUGAUGUGAAUCAC